rnacentral:rRNA from 1 species
GAUGAACGCUAGCGGCAGGCCUAAUACAUGCAAGUCGAGGGGCAGCGGGGUAGCAAUACUGCCGGCGACCGGCGCACGGGUGCGUAACACGUAUGCAACCUACCUUAAACUGGGGGAUAGCCCGGGGAAACUCGGAUUAAUACCCCAUAAUACAUUUGGAACACAUGUUUUGAUUGUUAAAGAUUUAUCGGUUUAAGAUGGGCAUGCGUUCGAUUAGCUAGUUGGC